rnacentral:rRNA from 1 species
UACGUAGGGGGCAAGCGUUAUCCGGAUUUACUGGGUGUAAAGGGAGCGUAGACGGCAUUGCAAGUCCGGAGUGAAAGCCCACGGCCCAACCGUGGGACUGCUCUGGAAACUGUAGAGCUGGAGUGCGGGAGGGGCAGGCGGAAUUCCUAGUGUAGCGGUGAAAUGCGUAGAUAUUAGGAGGAACACCGGCGGCGAAGGCGGCCUGCUGGACAUUAACUGACGCUGAGGCGCGAAAGCGUGGGGAGCAAACAGG